rnacentral:rRNA from 1 species
CAGUAGCCGCGGUAAUACAGAGGGUGCGAGCGUUAAUCGGAUUUACUGGGCGUAAAGCGUGCGUAGGCGGCUUCUUAAGUCGGAUGUGAAAUCCCUGAGCUUAACUUAGGAAUUGCAUUCGAUACUGGGAAGCUAGAGUAUGGGAGAGGAUGGUAGAAUUCCAGGUGUAGCGGUGAAAUGCGUAGAGAUCUUGAGGAAUACCGAUGGCGAAGGCAGCCAUCUGGCCUAAUACUGACGCUGAGGUACGAAAGCGUGGGGAGCAAACAGGAUUAGAUACCCCCGUAGUCCCUGUCUCUUAUAC